CCCUUAGAUGUCCUGGGCCGCACGCGCGCUACACUGACAUGUUCAACAAGCCUCCUAGUUCGACAGGAUUUGGGAAAUCUUUGAACGCAUGUCGUGAUAGGGAUAGAUCAUUGCAAUUAUUGAUCUUGAACGAGGAAUUCCCAGUAAGCGCGAGUCAUCAGCUCGCGUUGAUUACGUCCCUGCCCUUUGUACACACCGCCCGUCGCUACUACCGAUUGGAUGGUUUAGUGAGACCCUCGGAUCGGUCCCGACUCGGGGUGGGCUUCUGCCCCGGUCGUGGUUUCGCCGAGAAGACGGUCAAACUUGACUAUCUAGAGGAAGUAAAAGUCGUAACA
rnacentral:rRNA from 1 species